rnacentral:rRNA from 1 species
AUUGAACGCUGGCGGCAUGCCUAACGACAUGCAAGUCGAACGGCAGCACGGGAGCUUGCUCCUGGUGGCGAGUGGCGGACGGGUGAGUAAUGCAUAGGAAUCUGCCCAGUANCGGGGGACAACUUGGGGAAACUCAAGCUAAUACCGCAUGCGCCCUACGGGGGAAAGCGGGGGGACCUUCGGGCCUCGCACUAUUGGAUGAGCCUAUGUCAGAUUAGCUUGUUGGUGGGGUAACGGCCUACCAAGGCGACGAUCUGUAGCUGGUCUGAGAGGACGAUCAGCCACACUGGGACUGAGACACGGCCCAGACUCCUACGGGAGGCAGCAGUGGGGAAUAUUGCACAAUGGGCGAAAGCCUGAUGCAGUAAUGCCGCGUGUGUGAAGAAGGCCUGCGGGUUGUAAAGCACUUUCAGUAGGGAGGAAACAGUAGCCGGUUAAUAUCCGGUUGCCUUGACGUUACCUACAGAAGAAGCACCGGCUAACUCUGUG